rnacentral:rRNA from 1 species
GAUGAACGCUGGCGGCGUGCCUAAUACAUGCAAGUCGAGCGAACAGACGAGGAGCUUGCUCCUCUGACGUUAGCGGCGGACGGGUGAGUAACACGUGGAUAACCUACCUAUAAGACUGGGAUAACUUCGGGAAACCGGAGCUAAUACCGGAUAAUAUAUUGAACCGCAUGGUUCAAUAGUGAAAGACGGUUUUGCUGUCACUUAUAGAUGGAUCCGCGCCGCAUUAGCUAGUUGGUAAGGUAACGGCUUACCAAGGCGACGAUGCGUAGCCGACCUGAGAGGGUGAUCGGCCAAACUGGAAGUGAGACACGGUCCAGACUCCUACGGGAGGCAGCAGUAGGGAAUAUUCCGCAAUGGGCGAAAGCCUGACGGAGCAACGCCGCGUGAGUGAUGAAGGUCUUCAGAUCGUAAAACUCUGUUAUUAGGGAAGAACAAAUGUGUAAGUAACUAUGCACGUCUUGACGGUACCUAAUCAGAAAGCCACGGCUAACUACGUG